rnacentral:piRNA from 1 species
UCAAAUUUCUGGAAAAGUCUGAAUUUGAA